rnacentral:rRNA from 1 species
UAGGGAAUAUUGGUCAAUGGGCGCAAGCCUGAACCAGCCAUGCCGCGUGCAGGAUGACGGCCCUCAGGGUUGUAAACUGCUUUUAUAUGGGAAUAAAAAAGUCCUUGCGAGGACUCUUGAAGGUACCAUAAGAAUAAGCGCCGGCUAACUCCGUGCCAGCAGCCGCGGUAAGACGGAGGGCGCUAGCGUUGUUCGGAAUCACUGGGCGUAAAGGGCGCGUAGGCGGCUGUUUAAGUCGAGGGUGAAAGCCCGGGGCUCAACCCCGGAACGGCCUUCGAGACUGGGCAGCUCGAGACCGGAAGAGGAGGGUGGAAUACCCAGUGUAGAGGUGAAAUUCGUAGAUAUUGGGUGGAACACCAGUGGCGAAAGCGGCUCUCUGGUCCGGAUCUGACGCUGAGGCGCGAAAGCGUGGGGAGCGAACGGGAUUAGAUACCCCCGUAGUCC